AGGCACUACGGUGCUGAAGCAACAAAUGCCCUGCUUCCAGGAAAAGCCUCUAAGCAUCAGGUAACAUCAAAUCGUACCCCAAACCGACACAGGUGGUCAGGUAGAGAAUACCAAGGCGCUUGAGAGAACUCGGGUGAAGGAACUAGGCAAAAUGGUGCCGUAACUUCGGGAGAAGGCACGCUGACACGUAGGUGAAGUGAUUUACUCAUGGAGCUGAAGUCAGUCGAAGAUACCAGCUGGCUGCAACUGUUUAUUAAAAACACAGCACUGUGCAAACACGAAAGUGGACGUAUACGGUGUGACGCCUGCCCGGUGCCGGAAGGUUAAUUGAUGGGGUCAGCGCAAGCGAAGCUCCUGAUCGAAGCCCCGGUAAACGGCGGCCGUAACUAUAACGGUCCUAAGGUAGCGAAAUUCCUUGUCGGGUAAGUUCCGACCUGCACGAAUGGCGUAAUGAUGGCCAGGCUGUCUCCACCCGAGACUCAGUGAAAUUGAACUCGCUGUGAAGAUGCAGUGUACCCGCGGCAAGACGGAAAGACCCCGUGAACCUUUACUAUAGCUUGACACUGAACAUUGAGCCUUGAUGUGUAGGAUAGGUGGGAGGCUUUGAAGCGUGGACGCCAGUCUGCGUGGAGCCGACCUUGAAAUACCACCCUUUAAUGUUUGAUGUUCUAACGUGGACCCGUAAUCCGGGUUGCGGACAGUGUCUGGUGGGUAGUUUGACUGGGGCGGUCUCCUCCUAAAGAGUAACGGAGGAGCACGAAGGUUGGCUAAUCCUGGUCGGACAUCAGGAGGUUAGUGCAAUGGCAUAAGCCAGCUUGACUGCGAGCGUGACGGCGCGAGCAGGUGCGAAAGCAGGUCAUAGUGAUCCGGUGGUUCUGAAUGGAAGGGCCAUCGCUCAACGGAUAAAAGGUACUCCGGGGAUAACAGGCUGAUACCGCCCAAGAGUUCAUAUCGACGGCGGUGUUUGGCACCUCGAUGUCGGCUCAUCACAUCCUGGGGCUGAAGUAGGUCCCAAGGGUAUGGCUGUUCGCCAUUUAAAGUGGUACGCGAGCUGGGUUUAGAACGUCGUGAGACAGUUCGGUCCCUAUCUGCCGUGGGCGCUGGAGAACUGAGGGGGGCUGCUCCUAGUACGAGAGGACCGGAGUGGACGCAUCACUGGUGUUCGGGUUGUCAUGCCAAUGGCACUGCCCGGUAGCUAAAUGCGGAAGAGA
rnacentral:rRNA from 1 species